CACAUGAAGAGGGUCUUGCCUUCUGCCCUGUGUUGCUUUUUAUGUAGGAAUGUCCCGAGUGAUAUACUCUGCAGGUCCUCAUGAAAUAAGAAUAUACUGGAUUUGACUAGACAAUUCCCCAGAUGAAUGCAGUAUCAAACUGAUCUGUUUCUAACUUGGUCAGAGGUUUCUGCUGCAAAAACUUCUUUUUCCUUUGGUUGUUUUCUUUAUUGAAAAAUUCAUGGGACUCACACAACCACCCCAUUGAUGUGUAGAGUAACCUAUGUGUAGAGUAACCCUUUAGGUACAUUCUUUACAUCAUACCUGCUUAUUAGGAGCCAGUUACAUUUUUUUUGGCUGAGGAUCAGAUUAUUCAACUGGUAGAUAUAAAGGCAUGUUUGUUUCACAAC
rnacentral:lncRNA from 1 species